GAAGGUAAAUGAUGGAAAAACAGAUCUUAUCCUACACACUGAACUAAAUGUGGACUAAAAAACUCCGCUUAUUAUCUGAUGCCUUC
rfam:Ricinus communis ctg_1100012361649, whole genome shotgun sequence.